rnacentral:rRNA from 1 species
GACGGGCCGCACAAGCGAGGAACAUGUUGGUUAAUUCGAUGAUACGCGAGGAACCUUACCUGGCUUAAAUGUAGAGUGUCAUUUUUAGUAGAUAGAAAUUCCCUUCGGGCUUUCUGCAAGGUGCUGCAUGGUUGUCGUCAGCUCGUGCCGCGAGGUGUCGGGUUAAGUCCCAUAACGAGCGCAACCCUUAUCGUUAGUUGCCAUCUGGUAAUGCAGGGGACUCUAGCGAAACUGCCACCGUAAGGUGAGAGGAAGUGGGAUGACGUCAAAUCAGCACGGCCCUUAUGUCCAGGGCUACACACGUGUUACAAUGGUCGGUACAGAGGGCAGCUACCUGGUGACAGGAUGCUAAUCUCGAAAACCGGUCUCAGUUCGGAUCGAAGUCUGCAACUCGACUUCGUGAAGCUGGAUUCGCUAGUAAUCGCGCAUCAGCUAUGGCGCGGUGAAUACGUUCCCGGGCCUU